rnacentral:tRNA from 1 species
AGUAACAUGGCUUAGUGGAAAGAGCGCAGGGCUGGGAACUAGGAAACCUGGGUUCUAAUCCCAGUUCUGUCA